rnacentral:lncRNA from 1 species
CUGCUCCCCAGAGAUGGACCGUGCAUCUUCUGUGUUACUCACGACAGUUCGGCACUGAAUUUCCUUGAAAGAAAGGAUGGUUGCAGUUUAGAAAAGCAAAGCAGGCCUAGGGCAAGGAGAAAAUGGCAUCCAAUUGGACAGCAGUUGAUACUGGAAAAGAAGAGUCCAGCCCAAGUGAGCGUCUGGGCUCCUUUCUGUGACAGACGUCACCCUCCCAGCCAGCCUGCCAGUGCCCCAGCAGCAUAUGCUGUAAUCUGGAAGAUGCGGUUUCUAGUUACCAACCUGAUAACUCUCUGCAGCAUGAAAAUGAAGUGACUUAUGUCAGGAGAGAUGCCUUAAGGACUUGGUAAAAGUCACCUCUCUCUGUGCUGAGGCUGGCUUCAGAUUUCUCUCUUGUAUCAUGAGAAAUUAGAACUGGAAAAAAAGAAAGAUUCAAGGUCUUCAAAUGCUAUAUUCAGCCAAGAAGUGAUACACUUGUGAAGACUGAAAGACUGCCUAACUUGACAAGAAUAACACCCAUGAACACUGUCUGAAACAAACUUAAUAGAAGACAUAUAGCUAUUCUAUAGAAUCAGGCUCUGAAUGUUAUAAUUUUUAGAAAAAGUGAUAUUUCACUAGAGAAUAAGUAAUUUACCCAAAAUAGACUUCAAUCAAAACCAAGAGUUUGGACCUGGGAGUGAAAACUGGACAUUUACCAUAACUAUACCAGUUAUGGUUCACAAAAGCUAGUAAAGUGAUUAAAAGCCUAGUUUUAAUCCCAUUUUAGUACUGUUACAUUCGUGAUCCUGAGUGCAUUACUAAAAACUCUGUGGUAGGACUCCUUAUUUAUAUUGAAUAAUACUGAAUCUGCCUCAAUAAUACUGAUUGCCAUGACAUGAGAUGUAUUCAUUCAUGUGAAGUUCUGAGAACAGGGUCUGGUUACACCAACAUGAAAUUGCUAUAAUUAUUGUUACCGCUGCAAGUACUAGGAAAUCAACAGAGAAUAUUGCAUUUUCCAGGAUGAUUACUCAGGAAAUAAGGGCUUGGCAGUGGGAUUUGUUGUAAUUUUUAUUCAAAAUAGUUUUCUUAUUUAUACUGUUUCAUUUCUUUCUGAAGUCAAUAUGUAUAUUUCUUAGUGAAUUUUAAUUAUAGAGAAAUUAAAACAAAUGC